rnacentral:lncRNA from 1 species
CGCCCCUAGUGACCAGAAUGCCUGGGUUGAAGCCUACGAACAAUAUGCCUGUAGACCACAGAGUGGCUGUUGGUGCUGAAAGACAUGCUGAAAUCUGCAAAGUACACCACCAUACCUGUACAGAAGGCCCAGGAUGUAAUAUUCAUACAUGAUAUUCCUAUUGUCUUGGGAUAAAUAGGAGGUUAUGAGCUCGAUUGGUAACGACAAUACUACUUUAUCACAACAUAACUUGAGAUUGUAAAACAAGGCUAAUAACUUGUGACAUCAAAGCAAAGCAAAUAAACAGAAUAAUUAUCAUGAUCCUUCACAGACCUCUGUAUUUUCAAGAAUAAUAUAAGUUAACAAACAGAUACAUUGGGUUUAGCACUUUGUUAACACGUUAUUUUUUUAUGUGUAUUCUGAUAACCAUAUAUUCUAUUUUUUUUCAGUAUGGACAACGAUGGACAACAUAUGGAUGAAGAGGACCUGAGCACCUCCUCCCAACCACAGCAUGUCGGGCCUAAACCUGUUCGCCCAGUUAUCAUUCAUCCAGAGAUCGACUUAGAGACUGCCGAUGACACAUUUGGUGCCCCACGGUCACCGAACCAAGAGCUCCAAUCUCUUGACGAUGCACAGUGCGAUGAAGCCAGUAUGCCCCACCAAUCCCCUUAUAUGUCUUGUCGUAACACAACUGACCAACCAUUACAUGUUCUAUCUCCAGUUCACACUGCACCUCAGUCCAGUGAGUCACCCUCCCUACCUGCAGUCCCCUGUGAAUCGGUCAACCAGAUUUCAGAGCGUUUAGUAGAAGCCAUCAGCUGGUCCGCACUGCAGAACGAUCCGACCCCCUUUCAGCCUCACACACCGAGCUCCAGCACCAGCUCUCUGGCAGCCGAUGAGGAGCAGGGCAAAGACAGCUUUGCCCUCGAUAAACUUAUACCAUUCACUGUUACUCAGUCCCCUAUUAUGGAGGCCAGCAGCCAUCCUAGUAGUGAGGAUGAUGAAGUAGAGAUGUUGACCUUGGGAGAUGGAAAGGUCAAGCUAGCACAAACGUUUUCCAGAGGAGAGAUAGCCUUUUUUGAUGAAAAAGUAAAGCAUUUAGAUUCAGAAUCAGAUGAGUGCACAUCUGAAAGUAGCCCCCGAAAUGAGAUCACCCCGGACAACGUUGAAGGCAAGUGGAGAUUCUGUGAGACGGAGGAGGAAACCUUACAGACGGCACCAUUGGAGAGCUUGAACAACGACGGUGUUCCAGAUGUUCCAUCCACACCUAACACACAGCUGCCUGCAGCAUCUGAAAUGCCAACUGAGCAACCACCUUCCAAAGUUCAACAUUUGGACCUUCUGGAGAUAUCUAUGACCACAAAAGUGGAGAAUACAUAUGCUGGUAAAGCACAUUCAUGCCUGUUGACGCAGUUGGAGUUGCUAAGCGUAGAGAGAGAGACAGAACAAGAGAGAGGAGAGACACAGGCUGUCUUGAUGAGCCAUUCAGACGAUCCUUAUGACAAAGAACAAAACACAAAGGUGGAUGAGGAAGAAGCAACACCAGGAGAUGCUGCCGCAUUAUUAGAAGAGGACGAAAAGGUCCAACAAGAAACACUGAGUUCAGACAUCGGUCAGACCAAUGGAGAACAAAGCUCAAUGUACCAAAGCACUAAUACUGACAAUCCAUUUGAACUUGGCACAUCAGUAAAAAACAACUUGCUAUAUCCGUCUGAUUCUGAGGCGACAGCAACACAGACCUCGCUGGCUGACCCCGAUACGAUUUUUAGAGACGCAUUUGAUAACCUAAGGGAGACGAGCCAAAGACCAGAAGAGGAAUCCAUUGAUUUAGUGAGCCCAGAUACGUGUCUCACUCCCCCCGCUCCAGAAUCUCCCCCUAGGUACGGCUCUCCUCCUUCAAUCGGAUCUAGCGAGCUAUCUACCACGCCGUCGGUGGAUUCCAUUGCUACAUCGCCUCUCUGCGUUCCCAAAGCAGAGAGUCAGGUGUUUCUAGGAGAGGAGCGACAAGCUGCAACAUCAAACGCAGUCGCAGACACAAACACCUCGGCGACAUCAGAUGUUAACGUGUGUGACGCUACGCAAGGCAGGAAAGAGGUGGUGGAGCCGCCUCAAACACCCUCUGACUCAUCGGCAGCGUAUCCGCCCUACACCUCGCUGACAGCUGAGGAGCCGUUAACCUCGCAUCCAAUGUGUAAGGUGGGGAAAAACCUGAGGCUCAGCAUCACCUUCCUGGGGGGUGUGACCUGUAUCUCCGUGGUGAUGGCGGACCCCAGUUCCCUGUUCAUCGUGGGACUUGUUUUGUCUGCACUCUUCUUUCUGAUUGCGUCAGAUUAGAGCUUUGUGGGGAAGUGGUUGAGGUUUUUGUUUUUGUUUUCAUCGUUCCUAAGAAGCAGACAAGUAGCACAUGUGUGAGGAUGUUGUGAUGGGGUGCACGUUCUUUAUGUUCCACGUGUUAUAAUGACUUGUCAUGUUGUCAACACAGACUAGUUUCUGAUACCAGGGGCACUUAAUACUUUAUCUGUACUCAUCAUAAUAUUAUAAGAAUUCUCUCUAAAGGAGACAUUGAUCAGAAGAAGAAAAAAAGACAAUGUAACGAAAUGUUGUGGCUGUCUUAUACACUUGCAAAGUCUGUUAUCAGACAUGAAUAUAUACCCAUUUAUCGCAAAACAUUAUUACACAAAGGCCUUAACAAUCACUUGAAUUUGAUAGCACAACUGCAGCGUUUUGCUUUUUUGUAUUAUCAGAAUUAUGUCAGAGAUGUUCACAACGUCCUUCCACUGUGACACAUACAUAUCACAAUAACAUAUAUAUGGUUGGUUUUGCAUGAUUUAUAAGCCUACUCCAAAGAAUAUUAAAGGUUUACAUAAUAUAUGAUACGGUCUCUUUUGUAUCUUCUUGUUACCUUUGUUUUCUCUGUCAUUCUUUUAAUUCCCAUAAGGGUUAUGGAAAUCUAUGCAGCAAAUAUCCAAAAUAUCAUUCCUUCUAUUGUGAAUGUAGUUAUGCCGAGGUAAACUCUGCCAUCUUUUAUAUAUCAACCUGCUGCUGUUAUUGUUUCAAUGAUGCCAACUGCCCACCCCAACGAUAAAAAAUGUCAGUGGAAUUCUGAAUAAAAAACGUGUAGAUUAAAUCACAGGUAAAGGAAAGGAGUUCAAUGGCCUCAACUACCCCUCGGCCUCUUCUGACGCUGUAGUCAGUGUCACAGAGUCCAGGGAUGUCAAAAUGAGCCUUUAACAUAUCAAGCAAAGGUCACACAUUGCACUGAAGUCAUCGGGUUAUAUUACAGAGCAGGCCACUCAGAGAAAGUCAGCUUAUUCAGUCGUUGAGGAUUCCCUAGAAAAAAACUCUUGAAAUGUUACACGGUUGACCACAGGACACGUGUAAUGUACUGAUGAUGAUGUUGUUGUUGAGGAUGAUGAUGAAGAAGAUGAUGAUGAUGAUGGAUUGAGAAUUUUGUAAUCAACAUUUUCCUAUCAAAAACAGUUUUUCAUUAGACUUAAUAAAAGUAUUUAAGGUUAACUGUUUGUCUGUGUGGGGGAGUGUAUGUGCGUGCGUGUGUGUGUGUGUGUGUGUGUGUGUGUGUGGGGGGGGGGGGGCGUGAAUGCAUGCGGGUGGGUGUUCGUGCAUGCAUGCGUUUAUGUGUGUG